rnacentral:ribozyme from 1 species
AGAAAGAAAGAAAGAAGAAAGAAAGAAAGAAAGAAAGAUCAAUCAAUCGAUCAAUCGAUCAACCACCUCUUUCUUUCCUGUAAGUACAGGU